GCAUAUUAUCUGGAGCCAUGCCAUUUAAGGUUGUAAUCUCAUUAGAUUUCGCAAGCUAAAUAGGGUUGGGCCUACAGUACUUGCAUGGAAGACCUCCAAGAAAAGUCCAGGUUAUUGUAUGAA
rnacentral:rRNA from 1 species